CCUGAGCAUGCGCACGAGCUCCUCUGCAAGCCUUCGCGCGCAGCUGUGUGGGAGGGUUUGGUGACCUUGCUGCCUGGGGCAGGAGAGUGUGGUGUGGUCUGGAGGACUCUCCUCUCCUGACUCCAGAGAUGCGGCGUCUGUCCCUAGGGCUGAUGUGAAAUACAAGCUUGUCUGAUUUCAAAACACAUGCUUUUCCAUCACUGUACCUCUCUGUGGUAAGUUGAAUCGUGUCCCCUAAAAAGAUACAUUGAAGUCCUAACCCCUGAACCUGAAAAUGUGACUUUUUUUUUUUUACAGAUGUAAACAAGUUAAGAUGAGGUCAUUAGGGUGGGACCUAAGUCCAAUAUGACUGAUGUCCUUAUAGAAGAGGGAAAUGUGGACACAGACGCAGAGAGACGGCCAUGAGAAGAGGGAGGCAGAGAUUGGAGUUAGACCACGGCCAGCCAAGGACCGCCUGGGGCUCCUGGAAGCUGGGAGAGGCCGGAAGGACCCUCCCCCUGGGCCUCGGAAGCCCGGGGACGCUAAUACCCUCCUCCACAAUACACUUCCGCAAAGAGAGAGGACAUGCCUGUGGCUUUCUUCUCUCAUCUAUGUCUUCGUGGAGAAGCAUCAUCUCUGUGCAGAAUCCAGAGCUCUGGCAGUUUAAAGUGUCCCAUAUUGGUAACAAAAUACAAGGAGGCAUUGGCCAUGCCAUCAACACUGCUCCCUCAUUCCCUCGGGAAGAUGGAAACUGCUGUAGAGGCCAGACAGCAGGCUGGCUGUGCCGCCCAGGAGGCACCACUGACCCGGAGGAGGUAUGGCUGUCCUCUGAGCAUCUCGCAGAGCAGAAGGAAGGGGUCUGUUCCAGCCCCCAAAGAGAAUGAAAACAUCCCUCACCCCCAUCGUCUUCAGGUUUUACUUUCUCCUCUCCCUCUUUCGUUACACCAGUUAACUUCUUUAAGGAGCAGGUUUCACCUGAUACCUCCAUUCCCUGCUUCUGGUCUGGCUUCCUCUCUCCUGCUCUGUUGAACCAGAUUCUAAGGCAUCAGAGAGAACACAGUCACCAUAUCCAAAAGCUGUACCCAGUUUCUCAGCAGCGCUCACGCCUGUUGGCCACCCCCUGCCCAUUCUUUGCAACACUUGUCCCCGUAGGUCUCCACGACGUUGCCCCUCCUGGCUCGCCUCCUCCUUUCCUAAUCACUCAGGUCUCCUCCCUGGGCUCCUCUCUCUCCUCCUGCCCCCUGGAUGAACAGAGGCUGAGAACCCAGACCAAUAAGAAGAGCUAAUCAGGGGCCGCCCCAUGGCCAAGUAGUUAAGUUCACGCGCUCCGCUUCAGCAACCCAGGGUUUCGCCGGUUCGGAUCCUGGGCACGGACAUGGCACCGCUCAUCAGGCCAUGUUGAGGCGGUGUCCCACAUGCCACAACUAGAAGGACCUACAACUAAAAUAUACAACUAUGCGCUUGGGGGGUUUGGGGAGUAAAAGCGAAAAAAAAAAAAAGAAAGAAACUCAGUGCCUAUCAAUUCUGGUUCCCACAUGCAACUAUCUGGAAAGGCCUUCCUUCUCACAUGGGGGAUAGCCUGUGAAGUCAACAUGUAAAGCAAAAGUCACACACAGUCAGACUUACCCUGGAAAGUCUCUUGAAAGUUGCCGUGUUGGAGACUGAUAUGCAAUUUCUCGCUAAGUCCAGCACAGCCAGUUUUACCAGCCUCUAUAAAUUCGUGCUGAGCAUUUCGACAACGUAUCCAUGCAAGGUGCACGCAGCUACUGUAGGCAGUACCAGCCCCGAGACCAGUAGGCUCAAAUCAGCAGUGUAACCAACUCCAAUUCUGAAACCAAAUCACAUAUGGGCUGGCAGUGUUUACAGGGAAUAAAUGAUUAAAAACCCUAGAAUAGCA
rnacentral:lncRNA from 1 species